rnacentral:rRNA from 1 species
UACGUAGGGUGCAAGCGUUGUCCGGAAUCAUUGGGCGUAAAGAGCUCGUAGGCGGCGUGUCGCGUCGGGUGUGAAAACCCGCAGCUCAACUGCGGGCCUGCAUCCGAUACGGGCAUGCUCGAGUUCGGCAGGGGAGACUGGAAUUCCUGGUGUAGCGGUGAAAUGCGCAGAUAUCAGGAGGAACACCGGUGGCGAAGGCGGGUCUCUGGGCCGCAACUGACGCUGAGGAGCGAAAGCGUGGGGAGCGAACAGG